rnacentral:rRNA from 1 species
UACGUAGGGGGCAAGCGUUGUCCGGAUUUAUUGGGCGUAAAGAGCUCGUAGGCGGUUUGGUAAGUUGGAUGUGAAAUCUCCAGGCUCAACUUGGAGGGGUCAUUCGAUACUGCCAUGACUAGAGUUCGGUAGGGGAGUGUGGAAUUCCUGGUGGAGCGGUGAAAUGCGCAGAUAUCAGGAGGAACACCGGUGGCGAAGGCGGAUCUCUGGGACAUAACUGACGCUGAGGAGCGAAAGCAUGGGGAGCGAACAGG